rnacentral:lncRNA from 1 species
CACAUUCCGCACAGCCAAACUCAUCAUUUCAGCGUGCCCUGGGAAUGAUAUUGUCAUGUGGGGCCCGCACUCCAGCGCCUCGUCGUCGUCACGCGCAAGCCCGUUCCUGGAGUAUAUGACGCGAGGCCCCCGCACCAACAGAAGCAAUCUCCUUAUCCAAAAUGGAAAUCUACACCCACGUUUGCCAAGAGCUCGGGCGAUCUCAUCACAUCUGAUCUAGAGUCUGCGCUCAACAAACGUGUCUGCCAACCAGUAUAAGUAGGAACCUCGUGACCCCUCAUCCCAUCCGGAUCGAGAGUGUGGGCAUAGAGAGGCGGGGAAGGCAAAGCACCUCCGAUGCGAGUGGGAUUGAGCAAAUUGAGCCACAGCCGUGGAACCACAUCAAUUGCAAAGUUCUAUCCCCUUGCAAACACUCCAGGAGGUUAGAUAGGCCACGUAUAACGUAUGUGAGGUCUUGGCAGGGGAAAGGAUGUAUCGGAUACAAGGAAUUCAUCACCGGAGUAUCCCCUACACGGCGGAGCCGCGCUGUGUCAUGUCGUGAAUCGGCUCGACCACAACAUGUCAACAUCGUUACCGGUGAGACCCCCUUCUUGAGGUUUCGCCUUAAUCGGUCCAACAUAGAGCACUUUGCAUAGUAGGAUAUAGUUCGCCUUCGGACCGGGAAUUCAACGUUGUAGUGAGACGUUGUCACGGGUGUACUGCUCAUCGUGGUCGUUGCGUACCAUUAGCUUUCGUCGCUGGUUGGUAAUCCCUUUGAAUUUGUAGGACUCUCAUAUAGGUGUAGAUCCAUUUAGAUCACAGGAUAGAGCCCUAGUGCACGGAGUAGGCAUCCUUCGGCCAUGGCGCCGCCGUGUGUGGCCUAUGCUGCCUGGCUCGGUCGGCGGAGGAGGGAAGGUGCACAUCGGUGGUUGAUUGACGCAUCCACAGUUAGGAUGAGAUAGGAAUGUAAUGGUGCGUUGAGGUUGAUCGGGGCCCUUGAUCCAUGGAUAGACGGUCCAGAGCGAUUCACUCAACACCACAUGCGCUAGGGUGGGGAUCUUUUGUGGCUGUGGAUCCCAUGUGCCAAUUUAUGUCCCUUCAUGCGGCGAAAUUCCAAUCGGUAGUAUCGCGCCACGUGUCAACGGAUGUAGGCGCACUAGGAUGUUUUUCAUUCCAACUAUCGGAGUCUGCUAGAAAUAUCCCGUGGUACACAUCCAUGUAAGAAGUAUCACAAAACAGUCCAAAACUUUAUAAGUUUAACCCUGACUUUUACCAAAAUAGAAGUCGUCGUCCUUUCAAGAAUAAAAAUAUUAAACAUAAAUUCAAAAUUCUCAAUAAUGCUCCUGGAAUUAUUUUUUACAUGUAAAAUUAAUAAAACAAUACCUAGAAACUCAGAUAAUUUAUAAUUUAUUCGUCUUAACUCCGAUUUUAGUGGUUCUCAAACCUAUGAUCUCUUAGCGACGCAUAGAAUAUUAUUGUGUAGUUUGUUCUCAUGAUUUGGUGUAAUGUUAUCAUAUCCAUUAUUAUAGAAGUGAGGUCACGAGGAGAUUCGAAGCCCAACUCGGUUAAGUACCUGGAAACACAAGUAAAACACAAGUUGUGUCCUUGAUCACUUUCUUUGACCUAAUAAUGUUCUCUUAAUCACCAUGGCACUGUUAGGUUAAGAUGAUGGGACCUAAUAGGUUACCUAGUUUUGUUUAUCCUAUACCAUGCAUACAAAUUAAUUAUUGGGUAGACUUGCUACUGUUGUACCUGGUUUUGGGAUACAUGGUACUUAUGAUUCAUGAUCAUGUACCAUGAUGAUUUAUUAUUGUUGGCUUUAUUAUGAUACAUGAUAGGAUCAUUUUGUUAAUUGGAACAUGGAGCGACCACCCGAGAUAACAGUGCUACCACAAGGGUGGAAUGGGACACCCUUGGCUGAUUAAUUAGGGAUGCUAGUGAGAGAUUACCUUACCCUAAAGGGCAAGCAAGGAGGAGUUGCUGCAAGUAUAGGAAGGUUCUCGGAUCGAAUAGUUUGUGAUAGCUUUUCGGACGAGGGAUUCCUAUACCCCCCUCUACCUAAAACCGCAGUGGGAUUUCUUGAGCUAGUGGAACUUUGUAAGGGCCUCGUAGUGAACCAUUGCCAACUCACCUUGGAAGUGUUUAAGGGUCUGUACAACCCAGGUGAAAAGGGAACACAACUUAUGGGUAAAAAUGCGCAAUCUCUACAGAGUGUAAAAUUGGUAUAUCAGCCGUGCUCAUGGUCAUGAGUGGCUCGAACCUUCACAUGAGUAAUUUGUUGAAUUAAACUUAACCUGUCAUACAUUGCAUUGCAUGUGGGUUUUAUUCAUUAUUGUGAUCAAUUAUUUAAUUGGGUUUGUAUACAGUUAUACUAGUAAUUGCUAAUAAAAUUUUGACCACCACUAAAAGCAAUGCUUAGCCUUAACCAUUCUCCUUGCCAAGCCUUACACUACACUUUUCCCCACACUUGUUGAGCAAUGACUAUAUGGGAGAUCACUCUUUCUAUAAUCACACCAGAUCAAGAACAAGUACUGCAAGAUGAGGAGCAUGAAGGAUGUUACGAUGAGUUCGGAGAGGUCUAGGCUGUCGUCUCCUAGUUAACUAUGGUUACGGAGGAUUGUUGUCAUGAUAUGAUGUAUUUAUUUAGCUAUUUUGUAUAGAACCUCUAUUAUGCAAUAAAGAUGUGACAUUAAUUUAUGUACCAUGAGUCAUCAUAUGUGUGAGACUUGAUCCUAGCACACAUUUGAGACACACUCAGGUUUGCCAUUACAUCCAGGUAUGAAAAAUACAUUUCUUUCAGAUCCUGAUACUUCUUAGUACUUCCAGGGUGUAUAGAGUAUGCUGAAUCAUGAGCCUCUCUAAGAAUAAGCUGAUGAAGACGUUCAAUUUCUAGUACACAAAUUCUCUUUUUGAACCAAUUUGUGCCUUGUUCGUCUUCUGUGAAAUCUGGG